UAUUAAAUCGCAGGUGAGAGCUGAGCGUACACACACGCAGUGUCAAAUACGUGGGCCAGAACGUACUAGUGAGAAGAUCUAGACGAGGUGUCAUUUUAUGCAGAUGAAAUCACGCGAGGGUCUCGCGAGAUGAACACAGUUGACGCAGAGUGGCUAGAUGGGGCCUAUCGACGACGACGAUGACGACUAAAUACUGUUUUGUUUUUUUUUUUAGCUUUUUUUCUUUCAUUUUCGUUUGAGAUUCGAACAAUUAUGGAAACUAAGAGAUAAUUCGUCCCCCACUGGCUGGUGGUAUCUCGAAGUGCGCCGAAGUAGACGUGUUUGCACUAGCCACCCCCCGUCUCGCCGGUGUAUAUUCGUUUUUUCACCCAUAUUUGGUAUUCAGGGACGACGGGCGUGCAGAAGGAAUACCCAAAAAAAUGAUUUUUCGAUCGACUGAAGUUGCCCUUAGGCAUUCUCGCGGAUUAUUGGCAGGCUGAUUCAACGCUUCUACGCAUGAGCUGUUUCACACAAUGCGUAUUUUUGAAUUAAUGGUUUUUGGUUUUUUUGUUUUUUUUUUUGUUUAAUUUCCACACUGUCAGCUGGAUCUCCUAUAAAUAACGUUGGGAUGAUUA